CACGGGACCCAGCUCACUGUUUUAGGUCAGCCCAAGGCCACCCCCUCGGUCACUCUGUUCCCGCCAUCCUUUGAGGAGCUCCAAGCCAACAAGGCCACGCUGGUGUGUCACAAGAGUGACUUCUAUCCGGGAAUCUUGACGGUGACCUGGAAGGCAGAUGGUACCCCCAUCACGCAGGGCAUGGAGAUGACCACGCCCUCCAAACAGCAAGAAGUACGCAGCCAGCAGCUACCUGAGCCUGACUCCCGAGCAUUGGAGGUCCCGUAGAAGCUACAGCUGCCAGGUCACACAUGGAGCACCAUGGAGAAGACAGUGACCCCUGCAGAAUGUUCGUAGGUUCCCAACCCUCACCCCAUCCACAGGGGCCUGGAGCUGCAGGAUCCCAGGGGAGGGGUCUCUCUGCAUCCCAAGCCAUCCAGCCCUUCUCCAUGUACCCAGUAAACCCUCAAUAAAUAUCCUCUUUGUCAAC